rnacentral:rRNA from 1 species
GCACAAGCGGUGGAUGAUGUGGUUUAAUUCGAUGCAACGCGAAAACCUUACCCACCUUGACAUGGCAGGAAUCCUGAAGAGAUUGGGAGUGCUCGAAAGAGAACCUGCACACAGGUGCUGCAUGGCUGUCGUCAGCUCGUGUCGUGAGAUGUUGGGUUAAAGUCCCGCAACGAGCGCAACCCUUGCCAUUAGUUGCUACGAAAGGGCACUCUAAUGGGACUGCCGGUGACAAACCGGAGGAAGGUGGGGAUGACGUCAAGUCCUCAUGGCCCUUAUAGGUGGGGCUACACACGUCAUACAAUGGCCGGUACAGAGGGUAGCCAACCCGCGAGGGGGAGCCAAUCCCACAAAGCCGGUCGUAGUCCGGAUCGCAGUCUGCAACUCGACUGCGUGAAGUCGGAAUCGCUAGUAAUCGCGGAUCAGCAUGUCGCGGUGAAUACGUUCCCGGGUCUU